rnacentral:rRNA from 1 species
UACGGAGGGUGCAAGCGUUAUCCGGAUUCACUGGGUUUAAAGGGUGCGUAGGUGGGUUGGUAAGUCAGUGGUGAAAUCUCCGGGCUUAACUCGGAAACUGCCGUUGAUACUAUCAAUCUUGAAUAUCGCGUAGGUGAGCGGAAUAUGUCAUGUAGCGGUGAAAUGCUUAGAUAUGACAUAGAACACCAAUUGCGAAGGCAGCUUACUUCACGAUCAUUGACACUGAGGCACGAAAGCGUGGGGAGCAAACAGG